UAGAGUUUGAUCAUGGCUCAGAUUGAACGCUGGCGGCAGGCCUAACACAUGCAAGUCGAGCGGAUGAGAGGAGCUUGCUCCUUGAUUUAGCGGCGGACGGGUGAGUAAUGCCUAGGAAUCUGCCUGGUAGUGGGGGAUAACGUCCGGAAACGGGCGCUAAUACCGCAUACGUCCUACGGGAGAAAGCAGGGGACCUUCGGGCCUUGCGCUAUCAGAUGAGCCUAGGUCGGAUUAGCUAGUUGGUGAGGUAAUGGCUCACCAAGGCGACGAUCCGUAACUGGUCUGAGAGGAUGAUCAGUCACACUGGAACUGAGACACGGUCCAGACUCCUACGGGAGGCAGCAGUGGGGAAUAUUGGACAAUGGGCGAAAGCCUGAUCCAGCCAUGCCGCGUGUGUGAAGAAGGUCUUCGGAUUGUAAAGCACUUUAAGUUGGGAGGAAGGGCAGUAAGCUAAUACCUUGCUGUUUUGACGUUACCGACAGAAUAAGCACCGGCUAACUUCGUGCCAGCAGCCGCGGUAAUAC
rnacentral:rRNA from 1 species